UACAGAGGUCUCAAGCGUUGUUCGGAUUCAUUGGGCGUAAAGGGUGCGUAGGUGGCGCCGUAAGUCAGGUGUGAAAUUUCGGAGCUUAACUCCGAAACUGCAUUUGAUACUGCGGUGCUUGAGGACUGGAGAGGAGACUGGAAUUUACGGUGUAGCAGUGAAAUGCGUAGAGAUCGUAAGGAAGACCAGUGGCGAAGGCGGGUCUCUGGACAGUUCCUGACAGCUGAGGCACGAAGGCCCAGGGGGAGCAAAACAGGG
rnacentral:rRNA from 1 species